rnacentral:rRNA from 1 species
CUACGGGUCGCUCCAGUGGGGAAUAUUGGACAAUGGGGGAAACCCUGAUCCAGCAAUGCCGCGUGUGUGAAGAAGGCCUGCGGGUUGUAAAGCACUUUCGGUUGGGAGGACUGCUUCUAGCACUAAUAUUGUUGGAAGUUGACGUUACCUUCAGAAGAAGCACCGGCUAACUCCGUGCCAGUAGCCGCGUUAAUACGGAGGGUGCAAGCGUUAAUCGGAAUUACUGGGCGUAAAGCGCGCGUAGGCGGCUAGAUCAGUCGGGUGUGAAAGCCCCGGGCUUAACCUGGGAACUGCAUCCGAUACUGUCUAGCUUGAGUACAGGAGAGGAGAGUGGAAUUCCACAUGUAGCGGUGAAAUGCGUAGAUAUGUGGAGGAACACCAAUGGCGAAGGCAGCUCUCUGGCCUGAUACUGACGCUGAGGUGCGAAAGCGUGGGGAGCAAACAGGAUUAGAUACCCGUGUAGUC